CCCCCCCCCCCCCACUCCAAACCCUACCGUGUGUCCAUCUGUCCUGUCUCUAUACCCCUGCCCCUUGCCUUUCUUUUUUUGCACACACAUCUUGAUUACUGAACAUUUGAUGUUCCCCCCCCUGUCUGACCCCAGACCUUCCCCGCAUGCUAAGCUAGUCUCUGUGUUCCCUGUAGCUCAGGCGCUAACGUGAAUGUAAUGUAGACCACUGCAGUCUGCCACUGCCAUCCAUCCCCGGCGACUUUAUCUUAUUCCACGCUGUCUGUCUGCAUGAGGAGCUCUGUGUGUAACCCACCCACCUGAUGCUGCCAUGCUGCCGCAGUGAAGCCCUGCAGUUCCUUGUUUUCAACUUCUGGAAACUUCUGGAAUAUGUCACUGACUGACCAGUAUCAUCACAACAGAGAAGCCUUCUUUUGAAAAGCCAAAAACGAAUGAAAACAAGCUACAUCAUCUUCCUGCUCUCUUUUCAAGUGGAGAGGACGCCCCCGGCUUCCUAAAAGGCAGACAAUGAGGACUAUAUUUGCAACACAACAAUAAAACUUAAAGUUUCCAAAACAACACACAAUGAAGGGAUGAGAGGACAGUGAAAUCAUGAAUGCUCUCAAAGAUGAACCCCCUAAAAGCGGCCCGAAGGAGACAAUGUCACAAAAUGGCUGCCUGUUUCAAUUCCUCGAAUGCUUCUCUAUGACUUUGGUGCCGAUAGCGUCAAGAUAAACUAACUGAACUGCCAGACGAACAUUCAAAUGUCCAAUUGAAGAUGGCCAUUUGAACGUGGACAUGACUACAGACAACAAAUGUUUACAUCUCAGAUGCUAAUAAGCUAAUCGCUUUAGCUCUCAAGCCACAGGCUGCGAGGUGGGAGAGAGCACAAGGAUCCUAUCCAAAUGUUGUUUUGGUGCCGCAGAUAGUUUGACAAUUCCUGUGUACUUUUCUGUCAUUCUGGAUUUACACUGUUUUAAUGUUCAGACAUGUUCCCACAAUUUUAAUAAAGUAGAAAGUUUCAUGUUAAA